UACGUAGGGGGCAAGCGUUGUUCGGAUUUACUGGGCGUAAAGGGCGCGUAGGCGGUCGUGACAAGUCACUUGUGAAAUCUCCGGGCUUAACUCGGAACGGUCAAGUGAUACUGUCGGACUAGAGUACAGAAGGGGCAACUGGAAUUCUCGGUGUAGCGGUGAAAUGCGUAGAUAUCGAGAGGAACACCUGCGGCGAAGGCGGGUUGCUGGGCUGAUACUGACGCUGAUGCGCGAAAGCCAGGGGAGCGAACGGG
rnacentral:rRNA from 1 species